UAUCAGGAGGAACACCGGUGGCGAAGGCGGGUCUCUGGGCAGUAACUGACGCUGAGGAGCGAAAGCGUGGGGAGCGAACAGGAUUAGAUACCCUGGUAGUCCACGCCGUAAACGGUGGGUACUAAGUGUGGGUUUCCUUCCUUGGGAUCCGUGCCGUAGCUAACGCAUUAAGUACCCCGCCUGGGGAGUACGGCCGCAAGGCUAAAACUCAAAGAAAUUGACGGGGGCCCGCACAAGCGGCGGAGCAUGUGGAUUAAUUCGAUGCAACGCGAAGAACCUUACCUGGGUUUGACAUGCACAGGACGCCGGCAGAGAUGUCGGUUCCCUUGUGGCCUGUGUGCAGGUGGUGCAUGGCUGUCGUCAGCUCGUGUCGUGAGAUGUUUGGGUUAAGUCCCGCAACGAGCGCAACCCUUGUCUCAUGUUGCCAGCGGGUAAUGCCGGGGACUCGUGAGAGACUGCCGGGGUCAACUCGGAGGAAGGUGGGGAUGACGUCAAGUCAUCAUGCCCCUUAUGUCCAGGGCUUCACACAUGCUACAAUGGCCGGUACAAAGGGCUGCGAUGCCGCGAGGUUAAGCGAAUCCUUUUAAAGCCGGUCUCAGUUCGGAUCGG
rnacentral:rRNA from 1 species